UAUAUAUUAGUGAAAUCUCUCUGUUUUGUCAAAUUUUCUAUCCUUAGUUUUCUUUAAUGUUUUAGUUUAAAAGUUGCUAGUGAAUUAACGUUAUUUACACGUUAUAAUAUGUAUUUUAAGAAAAAAGAUCAUCCAAUCGAAGCUUAUGCUAUGUUUUAUUGUUAUAGAUCCAUGGUCAUUAAGUCGAACUAUGCAAAUUAUUAUUCAAGAUGAUACCUAUAGAGACAUGAUUAAUUGGGAUUCAUUACCAAAAUCAUUUUUACCCCCCAAUUUUAAACUCGAGGACAGUGGCCUUUCAGAAUCAAAAGCUUUUAUCCUAAUGGUUGAACCAGAUGACUGCAUAGCUGCAGUUAAAGCGUAUAUUCAAGAAGAAAAGGAGAUUCCAUUUAAGAAACAGAAGCUAUUGAAUAAAGAUGGGGGAGUUUUAAGAGAUUCACAGACUCUUCUUUCUGCGGAAAUCAAGCAAGGUUCUACCUUAAUCCUUCGAUAUGCACCAAUAACACAAAUCUCUGUGAAAAUGCUAACUGGAC
rnacentral:lncRNA from 1 species